rnacentral:rRNA from 1 species
GCAUAUCAAUAAGCGGAGGAAAAGAAACCAACAGGGAUUGCCCUAGUAACGGCGAGUGAAGCGGCAACAGCUCAAAUUUGAAAUCUGGCCCCCUAGGGGGUCCGAGUUGUAAUUUGCAGAGGGUGCUUUGGCGUUGGCAGCGGUCUAAGUUCCUUGGAACAGGACGUCACAGAGGGUGAGAAUCCCGUACGUGGUCGCCAGCCUCCGCCGUGUAAAGCCCCUUCGACGAGUCGAGUUGUUUGGGAAUGCAGCUCUAAAUGGGAGGUAAAUUUCUUCUAAAGCUAAAUACUGGCCAGAGACCGAUAGCGCACAAGUAGAGUGAUCGAAAGAUGAAAAGCACUUUGGAAAGAGAGUCAAAAAGCACGUGAAAUUGUUGAAAGGGAAGCGCUUGCAGCCAGACUUGCCUGUAGUUGCUCAGCCGGGCUCCGGCCCGGUGCACUCUUCUGCGGGCAGGCCAGCAUCAGUUCGGGCGGCCGGAUAAAGACCUCUGUCACGUACCUCCCUCCGGGGAGGACUUAUAGGGGAGGUGAAAUGCGGCCAGUCCGGACUGAGGUCCGCGCAUCUGCUAGGAUGCUGGCGUAAUGGCUGUAAGCGGCCCGUCUUGAAACACGGACCAAGGAGUCUAACAUCUAUGCGAGUGUUUGGGUGUCAAGCCCGAGCGCGUAAUGAAAGUGAACGGAGGUGGGAACCCCUCGGGGUGCACCAUCGACCGAUCCUGAUGUCUUCGGAUGGAUUUGAGUAAGAGCAUAGCUGUUGGGACCCGAAAGAUGGUGAACUAUGCUUGAAUAGGGUGAAGCCAGAGGAAACUCUGGUGGAGGCUCGCAGCGGUUCUGACGUGCAAAUCGAUCGUCAAAUUUGGGCAUAGGGGCGAAAGACUAAUCGAACCAUCUAGUAGCUGGUUCCUGCG